AUAUUGAUUUUUCUAGUAAACACUUCUAAUAUACAUCACCAGUAAACAUUAGUACUCUUUAGAACAGGUUCAAUAACUGUUCUGUUACGUAUGGUAAAAAUAUGUUUAUAAUGCUAGUUAUUUGGGAGGUGAAGGCAAGAAGUUUUUGUUUUUAGGUAAAGGACAGCACAGUAAGUUAGCAUGACUCAUCACCAAAGAAAAUAUAAACAAGGGCUGGGUUCCUUUGCCACCUGUUCCUGCUGAUAAUGUUCUGCUUCAUUAUAGUUCCCAAAGCAGCAAACCAACUAACCAUAAAUUG